CCUACGGGGGGCAGCAGUGGGGAAUAUUGCACAAUGGGGGAAACCCUGAUGCAGCGACGCCGCGUGAGUGAGGAAGUAUUUCGGUAUGUAAAGCUCUAUCAGAAGGGAAGAAAAUGACGGUACCUGACUAAGAAGCCCCGGCUAACUACGUGCCAGCAGCCGCGGUAAUACGUAGGGGGCAAGCGUUAUCCGGAUUUACUGGGUGUAAAGGGAGCGUAGACGGAUAAGCAAGUCUGAUGUGAAAAUCCGGGGCCCAACCCCGGAAUUGCAUUGGCAACUGCAUAUCUAGAGUGUCGGAGAGGCAG
rnacentral:rRNA from 1 species